AGUACGAACGUGCCGUUGACAAAACGGAGGAAGGUGGGGAGUGACGUCAAAUCAUCAUGCCCUUACUGUUCUGGGCGUACACACGUGCUACAAUGGCCGGUACAGACGGACGCAAAGCCGCGAGGCGGAGCAAAUCCGAAAAAAGACCGGUCUCAGUUCGGAUUGCAGGCUGCAAUUCGCCUCGCAUGAAGUCGGAAUCGCUAGUAAUCGCAGGUCAGCAUACUGCGGUGAAUACGUUCCCGGGCCUU
rnacentral:rRNA from 1 species